GUCGCUUUAUCACAAGUUUUUUUUAAUAAAUUCACAUUUCACAAUAUAGAACAAAUACGUAGGAAACGAACCCCAAGAAAGAAAAAGAAAAAGACACAAACGCAGUGAUGUGACACAAACAUGUCCUCAUCAUAAGUGAAUCACCUUAUCUUAAUUAUUCAGAGAGAUAACCACAGAAAUAUCACAUAAUUACAAGGAUACUCUUCUUGCCUGCUGCAAUAGAAUAUACACAUAUGUGUGUAUAAAUAUAUAUACACACACAUCUCACUGCUAUAAAAAAUAUAUAUAUAUAUGUAUACAGCAUCUAAGGAUUUGUUAAAUUCAUUUAUCCUGAUGCAAUAAAAUUCUUUAUAAUAAAAAUAAUACAAGUAAUAUAAUAUAUUCAUUUCUUCAAGGAGCCCUCAUUCUUUCUCUGUGCUCGCCUGUUUAGCGAACAUAGCGUACACUCAUCACCAGCCUGUCUUGAUCUGCAUCACAUCCAGGUGCUUGUAUAUCCAUUCUUCCACAUCUUCUCCACAUCAGCACAAUGAUCAGCACAAUGAUGAUCACGAACAAAAUCAGUGCUGCGACCAGAAUGUACCACAUGUUACCUUUGUAGUUGUAGAUGUUGCUGAAACGUGAGAAACCUUUCCCACAGUCACUCCGGCAUUUGUACUGUCCUUCUUUUUUUACAGUUAUAAACUCGUCACUUUCAGGUAGUUUUUUGCGUGUGUAUGGGUCAUUUAAGGGUGUGUGAUACCAGUGGUAGGAUGUGCAGUCAUCAGGACAGUGAGGGCAGGAACACUGCAGACUGUUAGUAGACGCUGAAAUCACUGCAGCAGGAGGUCCACCUGUACAACACAGAAAUAUGACUUACAAAACCCGUACUUUAGAGCACUGAUGAUUUCAGACGAAUGUAGUAUUCAUAUAUUAACUAUUAACACAGUGCCUUUGUUUUAUACCAGAUUGUAACUAGUCCAAAUUAGACAUAAUAAAUAUUUUUUUAAAAAUAAUUAAUUUUUGUCCCCCUUUAUUAAAGCAAUAAAACAAGAGAGGCUGUGAUUUUUACAAUGGGUGAAGGUUUUUUUAGGCUCAGUGCAAAUGUAAUUAGAAUUUGAAAUGUUUCUAUUUAUUACACAAUUACAAUCAGAUGUUUUUGUGAAUGUGUAUCUUUAAGUUCUAGUAAUAUGAGCGUUCUGUUCUGUUUUGUUCCUUUGCAUUGUCAGCACCAUGUGCCACCAUCAUGGGUUAAAUAUGCUUAAAUGUGUC
ensembl:lncRNA